rnacentral:rRNA from 1 species
AUUGAACGCUGGCGGCAUGCCUUACACAUGCAAGUCGAACGGCAGCAUGAUCUAGCUUGCUAGAUUGAUGGCGAGUGGCGAACGGGUGAGUGAUACAUCGGAACGUGCCCUGUAGAGGGGGAUAACUAGUCGAAAGAUUAGCUAAUACCGCAUACGACCUGAGGGGGAAAGUGGGGGACCUGAAGGCCACAGGCUAUAGUACCGGCCGAUGUCUGAUUAGCUAGUGGGUGAGGUAAAGGCUGACAAAGGCGACGAUCAGUAGCUGGUCUGAGAGGACGAUCAGCCACACUGUGACUGAGACCCGGCCCAGCCUCCUCCGGGAGGCAGCAGUGGGGAAUUUUGGACAAUGGGCGAAAGCCUGAUCCAGCAAUGCCGCGUGUGUGAAGAAGGCCUUCGGGUUGUAAAGCACUUUUGUCCGGAAAGAAAUGGCUCUGGUUAAUACCUGGGGUCGAUGACGGUACCGGAAGAAUAAGGAACGGCUAACUACGUG